rnacentral:rRNA from 1 species
UCAUGGACGCAGUCUGAUGGAGCACGCCGCGUGAGUGAAGAAGGGUUUCGGCUCGUAAAGCUCUGUUGUUAAAGAAGAACGUGGGUGAGAGUAACUGUUNACCCAGUGACGGUAUUUAACCAGAAAGCCACGGCUAACUACGUGCCAGCAGCCG